rnacentral:rRNA from 1 species
UUUCGCAAUGCCCGAAAGGGUGACGAAGCGACGCCGCGUGGGUGAGGAAGGCCUUCGGGUUGUAAAGCCCUGUCAGGAGUUAAGAAAUGUAAGUGCGCUAAUAUCGCAUUUAUUUGACGAAGGCUCCAAAGGAAGCCACGGCUAACUCUGUGCCAGCAGCCGCGGUAAUACAGAGGUGGCAAGCGUUGUUCGGAAUUAUUGGGCGUAAAGAGCACGUAGGUGGGUUUGUAAGUCAGAUGUGAAAGCCUUCUGUUCAACGGAAGAAUUGCAUCUGAAACUACAAGUCUUGAGUGUAGGAGGGGAGAAUGGAACUUCUGGUGGAGCGGUGAAAUGCGUAGAUAUCAGAAGGAACGCCGGCGGCGAAAGCGAUUCUCUAGCCUAUUACUGACACUCAGUGUGCGAAAGCUAGGGGAGCAAACGGGAUUAGAUACCCCGGUAGUCCUAGCCGUAAACGAUGGGCACUAAGUAGAGGGGUUUUA